rnacentral:sRNA from 1 species
GAGGCUCAGCUGCAGCUGUUAUCGUGUAUGAUAUUACCAAGCAGGAUUCAUUUUAUACCUUGAAGAAAUGGGUCAAGGAGCUGAAAGAACAUGGUCCAGAAAACAUUGUAAUGGCCAUCGCUGGAAACAAGUGCGACCUCUCAGAUAUUAGGUAAGAUGCAUUUAAAUCUCUUUUGUGUAGAUACUAUCC